rnacentral:rRNA from 1 species
GUGCGUAGGUGGGUGUUUAAGUGCGAUGCGAAAUCCUGUGGCUCAACCAUAUGGAUGUAUCGCAUACUGGAUACCUGGAGGAAUGCAGAGGCAAGUGGAAUUACCGGUGUAGCAGUGAAAUGCGUAGAGAUCGGUAGGAACACCAAUGGCGAAGGCAGCUUGCUGGGCAUUUCCUGACACUAAGGCACGAAAGCGUGGGGAGCGAACAGGAUUAGAUACCCUGGUAGUCCACGCCGUAAACGAUGCACACUAUUAGUAUGGAGUAUCGACCCUCUGUGCUGAGAAGCUAACGCGUUAAGUGUGCCGCCUGGGGAGUACGGUCGCAAGACUAAAACUCAAAGGAAUUGACGGGGCUCCGCACAAGCAGUGGAUCAUGUGGUUUAAUACGAUGCUACGCGUAGAACCUUACCGAGGCUUGACAUCCUGGUCAUACUCUUUGGAAACAUUGAGGUCAGUUCGGCUGGACCAGUGACAGGUGUUGCAUGGCCGUCGUCAGCUCGUGUCGUGAGAUGUUGGGUUAAGUCCCGCAACGAGCGCAACCCUUAUCGUGUGUU